UUAAGCAUAUCAAUAAGCGGAGGAAAAGAAACCAACAGGGAUUGCCCCAGUAACGGCGAGUGAAGCGGCAAGAGCUCAAAUUUGAAAGCUGGCCCCCUCGGGGUCCGCAUUGUAAUUUGCAGAGGAUGCUUCGGGAGUGGCCCCCAUCUAAGUGCUCUGGAACGGGCCGUCAUAGAGGGUGAGAAUCCCGUAUGGGAUGGGGUGUCCGCGACCAUGUGAAGCUCCUUCGACGAGUCGAGUUGUUUGGGAAUGCAGCUCUAAAUGGGUGGUAAAUUUCAUCUAAAGCUAAAUAUUGGCCGGAGACCGAUAGCGCACAAGUAGAGUGAUCGAAAGAUGAAAAGCACUUUGAAAAGAGAGUUAAAAAGCACGUGAAAUUGUUGAAAGGGAAGCGCUUGCGACCAGACUCGCCUACGGGGUUCAGCCGGUAUUCGUACCGGUGUACUUCCCCGUGGGCGGGCCAGCGUCGGUUUGGGCGGCCGGUCAAAGGCCCUCGGAAUGUAACGCCUCUCGGGGCGUCUUAUAGCCGAGGGUGCCAUGCGGCCAGCCCAGACCGAGGAACGCGCUUCGGCACGGACGCUGGCAUAAUGGUCGUAAGCGACCCGUCUUGAAACACGGACCAAGGAGUCUAACAUCUACGCGAGUGUUCGGGUGUCAAACCCGUGCGCGCAGUGAAAGCGAACGGAGGUGGGAACCCUCACGGGUGCACCAUCGACCGAUCCUGAUGUCUUCGGAUGGAUUUGAGUAAGAGCGUAGCUGUUGGGACCCGAAAGAUGGUGAACUAUGCCUGAAUAGGGCGAAGCCAGAGGAAACUCUGGUGGAGGCUCGCAGCGGUUCUGACGUGCAAAUCGAUCGUCAAAUUUGGGUAUAGGGGCGAAAGACUAAUCGAACCAUCUAGUAGCUGGUUCCUGCGA
rnacentral:rRNA from 1 species